AUGUCCCACUCGUAAACGCCGGUUUCUCCGCGCCGUCCCCCCGACAACUGCUCGCCAAGUCUUUUGGCC
rnacentral:sRNA from 1 species